GACUUGAAUUCGUAUAGUUAUUCGCCUCCUUUUCUUUGGUUGUCCCUAAGGGGAUCAUUGCCGCU
rnacentral:rRNA from 1 species